rnacentral:sRNA from 1 species
ACUUAGCCCCGAUAGAAGCGGCAUCCUUUUAUGGCGGUGUUCGCCAUAAAAGAUACAGCGGAGAGCGGGAAACAGC